rnacentral:rRNA from 1 species
CCUACGGGAGGCAGCAGUGGGGAAUAUUGCACAAUGGGCGAAAGCCUGACGCAGCGACGCCGCGUGAGGGAUGAAGGUCUUCGGAUCGUAAAGCUCUGUCAGCAGGGAAGAACGGUCACUUUGCUAAUCAGCAGUGAAUUGACAGUCCCUGCACAGGAAGCACCGGCUAACUCCGUGCCAACAGCCGCGGUAAUACGGAGGGUGCGAGCGUUAAUCGGGAUUACAGGGCGUAAAGCGCUCGUAGGCGGGAUGUCAAGUCCAGGGUGAAAUCCCCGCGCUCAACGCGGGAACUGCUGUUGAAACUGGCAAACUGGAGUGUGGGAGAGGAGAGUGGAAUUCCAGGUGUAGGAGUGAAAUGCGUAGAUAUUGGGAGGAACACCAGUGGCGAAGGCGACUAGCUGGAAUAUAACUGACGCUGAGGAGCGAAAGCGUGGGGAGCAAACAGGAUUAGAUACCCCAGUAGUC